rnacentral:rRNA from 1 species
AUUGAACGCUGGCGGCAGGCCUAACACAUGCAAGUCGAACGAGUGGCGGACGGGUGAGUAAUGUCUGGGAAACUGCCUGAUGGAGGGGGAUAACUACUGGAAACGGUAGCUAAUACCGCAUACCAUCAGAUGGGCCCAGAUGGGAUUAGCUGGUUGGUGGGGUAACGGCUCACCAAGGCGACGAUCCCUAGCUGGGCUGAGAGGAAGACCAGCCACCUGGGAACUGAGACACGGUCCAGACUCCUACGGGAGGCAGCAGUGGGGAAUUUUGCACAAGGGGCGCAAUCCUGAUGCAGCCAUCCCGCGUGUAUGAAGAAGGCCUUCGGUUUGUAAAGUACGUUCAGCGGGGAGGCGUUACCCGCAGAAGAAGCACCGGCUAACUCCGUGCCAGCAGCCGCGGUAAUUC